rnacentral:rRNA from 1 species
AACGAACGCUGGCGGCAUGCCUAACACAUGCAAGUCGAACGAUGGCUUCGGCCAUAGUGGCGCACGGGUGAGUAACACGUGGGAACCUGCCUUUCGGUUCGGAAUAGCGUUUGGAAACGAACGCUAACACCGGAUACGCCCUUCGGGGGAAAGUUUGCGCCGAGAGAGGGGCCCGCGUCCGAUUAGGUAGUUGGUGGGGUAACGGCCUACCAAGCCGACGAUCGGUAGCUGGUCUGAGAGGAUGAUCAGCCACACUGGGACUGAGACACGGCCCAGACUCCUACGGGAGGCAGCAGUGGGGAAUAUUGGACAAUGGGCGCAAGCCUGAUCCAGCAAUGCCGCGUGAGUGAUGAAGGCCUUAGGGUUGUAAAGCUCUUUCGCACGCGACGAUGAUGACGGUAGCGUGAGAAGAAGCCCCGGCUAACUUCGUGCCAGCCGCCGCAGUAA